rnacentral:rRNA from 1 species
UACAGAGGGUGCAAGCGUUAUCCGGAUUUAUUGGGCGUAAAGCGUUUCGUAGGUUUUUAGGUAAGUUACUCUUCAAAGACCACGGCUCAACCGGGGGAAGGGGAGUAAUACUAUCUGAAUUGGUUAUCGGUGGGGCUUCUGGAACUGAUGGUGUAGUAGUGAAAUACGUUGAUAUCAUCAGGAACUCCGAGGGCGAAGGCAGGAAGCUAAUCGAUUAACGACACUGAGGAACGACAGCUAGGGGA